rnacentral:rRNA from 1 species
UACGUAGGGUGCGAGCGUUGUCCGGAAUUAUUGGGCGUAAAGAGCUCGUAGGCGGUGUGUCACGUCGGCCGUGAAAACCUGGGGCUUAACUCUGGGCGUGCGGUCGAUACGGGCAUCACUAGAGUUCGGCAGGGGAGACUGGAAUUCCUGGUGUAGCGGUGAAAUGCGCAGAUAAUCGGGAGGAACACCGGUGGCGAAGGCGGGUUCUCU